rnacentral:rRNA from 1 species
GACGAACGCUGGCGGCGUGCUUAACACAUGCAAGUCGAACGGAAAGGCCCUGCUUUUGUGGGGUGCUCGAGUGGCGAACGGGUGAGUAACACGUGAGUAACCUGCCCUUGACUUUGGGAUAACUUCAGGAAACUGGGGCUAAUACCGGAUAGGAGCUCCUGCUGCAUGGUGGGGGUUGGAAAGUUUCGGCGGUUGGGGAUGGACUCGCGGCUUAUCAGCUUGUUGGUGGGGUAGUGGCUUACCAAGGCUUUGACGGGUAGCCCGCCUGAGAGGGUGACCGGCCACAUUGGGACUGAGAUACGGCCCAGACUCCUACGGGAGGCAGCAGGGGGGAAUAUUGCACAAUGGGCGGAAGCCUGAUGCAGGAACGCCGCGUGCGGGAUGACGGCCUUCGGGUUGUAAACCGCUUUCGCCUGUGACGAAGCGUGAGUGACGGUAAUGGGUAAAGAAGCACCGGCUAACUACGUG